UACAGAGGUCUCAAGCGUUGUUCGGAUUCAUUGGGCGUAAAGCGCGCGCAGGCGGUUUUUCAAGUCAGUGGUGAAAGCCCGGAGCUCAACUCCGGAACUGCCAUUGAAACUGUGAAACUUGAGGAUGAGAGAGGUGAGUGGAAUUCCCAGUGUAGAGGUGAAAUUCGUAGAUAUUGGGAAGAACACCGGUGGCGAAGGCGGCUCACUGGCUCAUUUCUGACGCUCAGGCGCGACAGCGUGGGGAUCAAACAGG
rnacentral:rRNA from 1 species